AUGCAUGGGCGCAGCCUGGAUGCAGCGACGCCGCGUGAGGGAUGACGGCCUUCGGGUUGUAAACCUCUUUCAGCUAGGGAAGAAGCGNAAGUGACGGUACCUGCAGAAGAAGCACCGGCUAACUACGUGCCAGCAGCCGCGGUAAUACGAA
rnacentral:rRNA from 1 species